rnacentral:tRNA from 4 species
ACACCGUUGGUGAAGUGGUUAUCAUGCUUGCCUUCCAUGUAUGCUAGGUUAGCAAGCGGCUCGGGUUCGAUUCCCGAACGGUGUA